rnacentral:rRNA from 1 species
CACGUAGGGCGCAAGCGUUGUCCGGAAUUAUUGGGCGUAAAGAGCGUGUAGGCGGCCAGGUAGGUCUGCUGUGAAAACUCGAGGCUUAACCUCGAGCUGUCGGCGGAAACCAUUUGGCUAGAGUCCGGAAGAGGAGAAUGGAAUUCCCGGUGUAGCGGUGAAAUGCGCAGAUAUCGGGAAGAACACCCGUGGCGAAGGCGGUUCUCUGGGACGGUACUGACGCUGAGACGCGAAAGCGUGGGGAGCGAACAGG